rnacentral:rRNA from 1 species
UGGGGAAUAUUGGGCAAUGGGCGAAAGCCUGACCCAGCAACGCCGCGUGAAGGAAGAAGGUUUUCGGAUUGUAAACUUCUGUCCUCAGGGAAGAAGGACGUGACGGUACCUGAGGAGGAAGCCCCGGCUAACUACGUGCCAGCAGCCGCGGUAAUACGUAGGGGGCGAGCGUUGUCCGGAAUGACUGGGCGUAAAGGGCGCGUAGACGGCUGUCUAAGUCUGGAGUGAAAGUCCUGUUUUCAAGGUGGGAAUUGCUUUGGAGACUGGAUGGCUUGAGUGCGGAAGAGGUAAGUGGAAUUCCCAGUGUAGCGGUGAAAUGCGUAGAGAUUGGGAGGAACACCAGUGGCGAAGGCGACUUACUGGGCCGUAACUGACGUUGAAGCGCGAAAGCGUGGGGAG